CCUACGGGAGGCAGCAGUAGGGAAUCUUUCACAAUGGGCGAAAGCCUGAUGGAGCAACGCCGCGUGCAGGAUGAAGGCCUUCGGGUUGUAAACUGCUUUUAUAAGCGAGAAAUAUGUUGGUAACUUAUGAAUUAGGAUCGGCUAACUACGUGCCAGCAGCCGCGGUCAUACGUAGGAUCCGAGCAUUAUCCGGGGUGACUGGGUGUAAAGAGUUGCGUAGGUGGCAUAAUAAGUAGCGAGUGAAAUCGGGUGGCUCAACCAUUCAGACUAUUAGCUAAACUGGUAAGCUCGAGACCGGUAGAGGUAACUGGAAUUUCUGGUGUAGGGGUGAAAUGCGUAGAUAUUAGAAGGAACACCAAUAGCGUAGGCAGGUUACUGGGACGGUUCUGACACUAAGGCACGAAAGCGUAGGGAGCAAACGGGAUUAGAUACCCCUGUAGUC
rnacentral:rRNA from 1 species